GGCUCAGAUUGAACGCUGGCGGCAUGCUUUACACAUGCAAGUCGAACGGUAACAGGCCUUCGGGCGCUGACGAGUGGCGAACGGGUGAGUAAUGCAUCGGAACGUGCCCAGAGGUGGGGGAUAACGCAGCGAAAGCUGUGCUAAUACCGCAUAUUAUCUGAGGAUGAAAGCGGGGGACUAAGCAGCAAUGUUUGGCCUCGCGCCUUUGGAGCGGCCGAUGUCAGAUUAGGUAGUUGGUGGGGUAAAGGCCUACCAAGCCGACGAUCUGUAGCUGGUCUGAGAGGACGACCAGCCACACUGGGACUGAGACACGGCCCAGACUCCUACGGGAGGCAGCAGUGGGGAAUAUUGCACAAUGGGCGAAAGCCUGAUGCAGCAACGCCGCGUGGGGGAUGACGGCCUUCGGGUUGUAAACCUCUUUUAGCAGGGAAGAAGCGAAAGUGACGGUACCUGCAGAAAAAGCGCCGGCUAACUACGUG
rnacentral:rRNA from 1 species